rnacentral:rRNA from 1 species
UACGAGGGGGGCGAGCGUUUGUUCGGAAUUAUUGGGCGUAAAGGGUGCGUAGGCGGUUUGGUAAGUCUGAUGUGAAAUCUAUGGGCUCAACUCAUAGUCUGCAUCGGAAACUGCCGGGCUUGAGUAUGGGAGAGGUGAGUGGAAUUCCUGGUGUAGCGGUGAAAUGCGUAGAUAUCAGGAGGAACACCUGUGGCGAAAGCGGCUCACUGGACCAUAACUGACGCUGAUGCACGAAAAGCUAGGGGAGCAAACAGG